AUUUUUUUUUCAUAAGACAUAAGCCUAUUGAAAAUGUACACUCCAAUCGUGUGUUUGCUCUUGGCUACGGCCUGUUUAUCAGCACCUCUAGGGGUCGAUAUUGCUACCUUUGAGAAGAACUUGAAGUCUCAGUUGGAAACCACUGCCCAACAUCUCAUCUACGAAGCUGAA